ACCUCGGUGUUUUAAUGGGUGUUGUUAUUGUGUCUCCAGCCAGGGUUUUAAUGGGGUGUUGGUUUUAAUAGUGUCUCCAGUCCAGCAGUGUUUUAAUGGGAGUGUUGGUUUAAUUAGUGUCUCCAGUCCAGCAGUGUUUAAUGGGUGUGGUUUAAUAGUGUCUCCAGUCAGUGUUUUAAUUGGGAUGGUUGGUUUAAUUAGUGUCUCCAGACCAGCAGUGUUUUAAUGGGGUGUUGGUUUAAUUAGUGUCUCCAGACCAGCAGUGUUUUAAUGGGGUGUUGGUUUAAUUAGUGUCUCCAGUCCAGCAGUGUUUAAUGGGGUGUUAGGUUUAAUUAGUGUCUCCAGACCAGCGCGUGUUUAAUGGGGUGUUGGUUUAAUUAGUGUCUCCAGUCCAGCAGUGUUUUAAUGGGCAUUAGUUUAAUUAGUGUCUCCAGACCAGCAGUGUUUUAAUGGGUGUGGUUUAAUUAGUGUCUCCAGACCAGCAGUGUUUAAUGGGGUGUUGGUUUAAUUAGGUCCGUCCAGCGUGUUUAAUGGGCAUUAGUUUCUUAGUGUCUCCAGACCAGCAGUGUUUUAAGGGGUGUUGGUUUAAUUAGUGUCUCCAGUCCGCAGUGUUUAAUGGGCAUAGUUUAAUUGUCUCCAGACCCGCAGUGUUUUAAUGGGGUGUUGGUUUUAAUUACAGUGCCUCCAGUCCAGACCAGCAGUGUUUUAACGGGGUGUUGGUUUAAUUACAGUGCCUCCAGUUCCAGACCACGCAGUGUUUUUAACGGGGUGUUGGUUUUAAUUACAGUGCCUCCAGUCCAGACCAGCCGGUGUUUUAACGGGGUGUUGUUUAAUUACAGUGCCUCCAGUCCAGACCAGCAGCGUUUUUAAUGGGUGUUGUGGUUAUUACAGUGCCCCGUCCAGACCAGCAGCGUUUGCCGUUUCUUCCCAGAGUGUAAGACGAGGGACUGUCUCUUCUACCACCCCAGGUCAGAACAAUACUCACAACCAUUGAGGUUGAAAGGAGUUUGUCCUCAAAUACCUGUUUUGAGCUGUUUGUUAUACAUCUUUCAUUAGACACUAGUAAGGAAAAAGGAUGUCUUGAGUUCUGAUCAAAAUGUUGCCGUUAUCAACUUCAAGAUGAUGUUUGAAGUGGUUUUUCUGUCUCUCGUCAGCCGUGUCGGUUGGAGCCCAGUGUAAAACGUACCGGUUUCACCUUUACCACCCCACUGCCUCGGGUCCCCUCCCAGACACGCCCUCAAGUGGACA
ensembl:lncRNA